UCCCGCAAAGCUAACCGGUGCAGCGCUUCACUUGUAAUGAAGAGAUAGCCAGUUCGACUCUGGCUGUGGGCU
rnacentral:tRNA from 1 species